UUAAGCGACUAAGCGUACACGGUGGAUGCCCUGGCAGUCAGAGGCGAUGAAGGACGUGCUAAUCUGCGAUAAGCGUCGGUAAGGUGAUAUGAACCGUUAUAACCGGCGAUUUCCGAAUGGGGAAACCCAGUGUGUUUCGACACACUAUCAUUAACUGAAUCCAUAGGUUAAUGAGGCGAACCGGGGGAACUGAAACAUCUAAGUACCCCGAGGAAAAGAAAUCAACCGAGAUUCCCCCAGUAGCGGCGAGCGAACGGGGAGCAGCCCAGAGCCUGAAUCAGUGUGUGUGUUAGUGGAAGCGUCUGGAAAGGCGCGCGAUACAGGGUGACAGCCCCGUACACAAAAAUGCACAUGCUGUGAGCUCGAUGAGUAGGGCGGGACACGUGGUAUCCUGUCUGAAUAUGGGGGGACCAUCCUCCAAGGCUAAAUACUCCUGACUGACCGAUAGUGAACCAGUACCGUGAGGGAAAGGCGAAAAGAACCCCGGCGAGGGGAGUGAAAAAGAACCUGAAACCGUGUACGUACAAGCAGUGGGAGCACGCUUAGGCGUGUGACUGCGUACCUUUUGUAUAAUGGGUCAGCGACUUAUAUUCUGUAGCAAGGUUAACCGAAUAGGGGAGCCGAAGGGAAACCGAGUCUUAACUGGGCGUUAAGUUGCAGGGUAUAGACCCGAAACCCGGUGAUCUAGCCAUGGGCAGGUUGAAGGUUGGGUAACACUAACUGGAGGACCGAACCGACUAAUGUUGAAAAAUUAGCGGAUGACUUGUGGCUGGGGGUGAAAGGCCAAUCAAACCGGGAGAUAGCUGGUUCUCCCCGAAAGCUAUUUAGGUAGCGCCUCGUGAAUUCAUCUCCGGGGGUAGAGCACUGUUUCGGCAAGGGGGUCAUCCCGACUUACCAACCCGAUGCAAACUGCGAAUACCGGAGAAUGUUAUCACGGGAGACACACGGCGGGUGCUAACGUCCGUCGUGAAGAGGGAAACAACCCAGACCGCCAGCUAAGGUCCCAAAGUCAUGGUUAAGUGGGAAACGAUGUGGGAAGGCCCAGACAGCCAGGAUGUUGGCUUAGAAGCAGCCAUCAUUUAAAGAAAGCGUAAUAGCUCACUGGUCGAGUCGGCCUGCGCGGAAGAUGUAACGGGGCUAAACCAUGCACCGAAGCUGCGGCAGCGACGCUGAUGCGUUGUUGGGUAGGGGAGCGUUCUGUAAGCCUGCGAAGGUGUGCUGUGAGGCAUGCUGGAGGUAUCAGAAGUGCGAAUGCUGACAUAAGUAACGAUAAAGCGGGUGAAAAGCCCGCUCGCCGGAAGACCAAGGGUUCCUGUCCAACGUUAAUCGGGGCAGGGUGAGUCGACCCCUAAGGCGAGGCCGAAAGGCGUAGUCGAUGGGAAACAGGUUAAUAUUCCUGUACUUGGUGUUACUGCGAAGGGGGGACGGAGAAGGCUAUGUUGGCCGGGCGACGGUUGUCCCGGUUUAAGCGUGUAGGCUGGUUUUCCAGGCAAAUCCGGAAAAUCAAGGCUGAGGCGUGAUGACGAGGCACUACGGUGCUGAAGCAACAAAUGCCCUGCUUCCAGGAAAAGCCUCUAAGCAUCAGGUAACAUCAAAUCGUACCCCAAACCGACACAGGUGGUCAGGUAGAGAAUACCAAGGCGCUUGAGAGAACUCGGGUGAAGGAACUAGGCAAAAUGGUGCCGUAACUUCGGGAGAAGGCACGCUGAUAUGUAGGUGAAGUCCCUUGCGGAUGGAGCUGAAAUCAGUCGAAGAUACCAGCUGGCUGCAACUGUUUAUUAAAAACACAGCACUGUGCAAACACGAAAGUGGACGUAUACGGUGUGACGCCUGCCCGGUGCCGGAAGGUUAAUUGAUGGGGUUAGCGGUAACGCGAAGCUCUUGAUCGAAGCCCCGGUAAACGGCGGCCGUAACUAUAACGGUCCUAAGGUAGCGAAAUUCCUUGUCGGGUAAGUUCCGACCUGCACGAAUGGCGUAAUGAUGGCCAGGCUGUCUCCACCCGAGACUCAGUGAAAUUGAACUCGCUGUGAAGAUGCAGUGUACCCGCGGCAAGACGGAAAGACCCCGUGAACCUUUACUAUAGCUUGACACUGAACAUUGAGCCUUGAUGUGUAGGAUAGGUGGGAGGCUUGGAAGUGUGGACGCCAGUCUGCAUGGAGCCGACCUUGAAAUACCACCCUUUAAUGUUUGAUGUUCUAACGUUGGCCCCUUACCGGGGUUGCGGACAGUGUCUGGUGGGUAGUUUGACUGGGGCGGUCUCCUCCUAAAGAGUAACGGAGGAGCACGAAGGUUGGCUAAUCCUGGUCGGACAUCAGGAGGUUAGUGCAAUGGCAUAAGCCAGCUUGACUGCGAGCGUGACGGCGCGAGCAGGUGCGAAAGCAGGUCAUAGUGAUCCGGUGGUUCUGAAUGGAAGGGCCAUCGCUCAACGGAUAAAAGGUACUCCGGGGAUAACAGGCUGAUACCGCCCAAGAGUUCAUAUCGACGGCGGUGUUUGGCACCUCGAUGUCGGCUCAUCACAUCCUGGGGCUGAAGUAGGUCCCAAGGGUAUGGCUGUUCGCCAUUUAAAGUGGUACGCGAGCUGGGUUUAGAACGUCGUGAGACAGUUCGGUCCCUAUCUGCCGUGGGCGCUGGAGAACUGAGGGGGGCUGCUCCUAGUACGAGAGGACCGGAGUGGACGCAUCACUGGUGUUCGGGUUGUCAUGCCAAUGGCACUGCCCGGUAGCUAAAUGCGGAAGAGAUAAGUGCUGAAAGCAUCUAAGCACGAAACUUGCCCCGAGAUGAGUUCUCCCUGACCCUUUAAGGGUCCUGAAGGAACGUUGAAGACGACGACGUUGAUAGGCCGGGUGUGUAAGCGCAGCGAUGCGUUGAGCUAACCGGUACUAAUGAACCGUGAGGCUUAACCUU
rnacentral:rRNA from 1 species